CAUAAUUAACGAGCGUGUCAACCUGCCGCGAAGGUCUAUGAGUGGUCUGCUGCUCCUCUUCGUGGAGC
rnacentral:pre_miRNA from 1 species